UGAGGAAUAUUGGGCAAUGCCCGCAAGGGUGACCCAGCAACGCCGCGUGGAGGAUGAAUGUCGUAAGAUUGUAAACUCCUGUUAGAGGGGAAGAAUAGUACCGGUUGGACCGGUAUAUGACUGUACCCUCAGGGACAGCCCCGGCUAACUACGUGCCAGCAGCCGCGGUAAUACGUAGGGGGCAAGCGUUGUCCGGAUUUACUGGGUGUAAAGGGCGCGCAAGCGGGAUAAAAAGUCAGUGGUGAAAUCCUACAGCUUAACUGUAGAACUGCCUUUGAUACUUUUAUUCUUGAGUGCGGGAGAGAGAGACGGAAUUCCAGGUGUAGGGGUGAAAUACGUAGAUAUCUGGAAGAACACCAGUUGCGAAGGCGGUCUCUUGGUCCGACACUGACGCUGAGGCGCGAAAGCGUGG
rnacentral:rRNA from 1 species